ACUGCGAAUACCGGAGAAUGUUAUCACGGGAGACACACGGCGGGUGCUAACGUCCGUCGUGAAGAGGGAAACAACCCAGACCGCCAGCUAAGGUCCCAAAGUCAUGGUUAAGUGGGAAACGAUGUGGGAAGGCCCAGACAGCCAGGAUGUUGGCUUAGAAGCAGCCAUCAUUUAAAGAAAGCGUAAUAGCUCACUGGUCGAGUCGGCCUGCGCGGAAGAUGUAACGGGGCUAAACCAUGCACCGAAGCUGCGGCAGCGACGCUGAUGCGUUGUUGGGUAGGGGAGCGUUCUGUAAGCCUGCGAAGGUGUGCUGUGAGGCAUGCUGGAGGUAUCAGAAGUGCGAAUGCUGACAUAAGUAACGAUAAAGCGGGUGAAAAGCCCGCUCGCCGGAAGACCAAGGGUUCCUGUCCAACGUUAAUCGGGGCAGGGUGAGUCGACCCCUAAGGCGAGGCCGAAAGGCGUAGUCGAUGGGAAACAGGUUAAUAUUCCUGUACUUGGUGUUACUGCGAAGGGGGGACGGAGAAGGCUAUGUUGGCCGGGCGACGGUUGUCCCGGUUUAAGCGUGUAGGCUGGUUUUCCAGGCAAAUCCGGAAAAUCAAGGCUGAGGCGUGAUGACGAGGCACUA
rnacentral:rRNA from 1 species